CACAACAUUUACAUUCGUUAACAAUCUUUUCUUCUUCUUUUUUUAUUGUGUGAAAAACAGAAAACAAUUUUCAAUAUGUACAAGGUGUGUUAUAGAUUAUAGGUUACAGAAAGAGACAAAAGACUAGUUUCACGGUGCACAGGACUAUUUUGGUUUUCGGUGAUAAUUUGUAAUUUGCAUUAUUUAUUACGGCAGUUGCCACUUUAAGGCAUAAGUGUGUGUGUGUGUGUGUUUGUUUUGUGCUGUAUGUGCAUGCAUGCGUGGAUGCGGUUUGUAUGUAUGGCUGAGUGUCUGUGUGCAUGUGUCUAUAACUGUCUGUGGAAAAACAAAGUCUUACAUACUCACUUUGUCUUACAGAAAAAAAAUAUACCAAUAAAACUACAAAAUCUGAAAUGUACAAUACUAAAGAAAAAAAUGUAAAAAUGUUUUCAUUUUCUUGCAUUAAAAAUAUAAACUAUAUUCUGUUUGAAAAGCAUUUAUAGUUCAAGGCUUUUAUCAGUUUAAAAACUGAAGUGCUAAAGACCGGAGAACUGGCGCCAGUCUGGUUUUAUAGUUUAACAGCUUUGGCAUGGCGAGGCAGCAUCACAUGAUCAUGUCACGACAAUUAUAAAAUCACCUGGUGUGUUUGUGCUUCAGCUUCUCAGGAGUGAAUGUGCAACAGUUUACUUGUUUGCAUUUCCUAUGCCACACAGACAUUAAAAGGUAGAAACAAUGCUGCCCAUACUGGGACGCUCUGAUGUACAAAGCAGCAUUUGCUGACUGAUCACAUGAUCAAAAAAUAAACUGAGGACACUACAACUGUAAUGGAUCAUAAACACCAAUUUUAUGGCAGUAUGAAUCAGCAUAAAGUUAGUGCAUGGUUAUCAACCUUUAACCCCAUAUCAAACCAAAUGUAUUCCAUCUGUUUUGUGGCAACAGUUGCAACUUCUGCAUUUGUCAGGUGACAAAAAUAUUACCAGCAUUUUGGAGCAAACACUCAACCAUGAAAGGUAUUUUCUUCUUUUUAUAAAACAGUCUAAAUGCAGAAAAGAGGAACUGAAAUGGGCAAACAUUAAGUUACAGUAAACUGAACGGGACCAAACUAAUUCAGCACCAGUUCAUUUUAAUAAAAUAUGGUUUAUACAAAUGUGUUAUCGGCCUUCCUGUGCUUCAAAGAGACGCGAUAGUCAGCCUGACCACGUUCACACCCACACCAAAGGUGUCCGUACUGGAAAUGACCCUAUUUAGAAUUACUCUGCAUCUGUAAGAAAAGGUUCACCAUGCAGUGCUCUGCACGUGCAUCUGUCUGAGACUCAAACAGCAAUGAAAUGUUUGAAUCUUGAAUCUCUGUAAUCUCUGAUUAAUGAGCUGGUCUAAACAUGUGCAUUAUCCUGUUUUCAGCUGUGAUUCUCCUUUUAACAGCUAUUCAUCUUAAACAUUAUUACUUAGUUUUAGUUUUAACACAUGCUAAAAUAAUUUUCUAUCCAUGACCCCCACUCCACCUGCUGAUUAACACUGAAACAUCUGCUUCAGCGGGUUUUUGUUCAGCUGACCUUUUAUUAAUUUAAAAUUAUUUGAAUGGAUAUCAGCAGUUCUCCAAAGCUGUAAGUUAGAAGCUUAUAUUUGAUUAAAAACGAUGCACUGUUUGAAGAGACUGAUAACGUCAUCUCUGUUUUCACAGGUACAACUUAAACUCAAAACCACAAACACGUAGGAAGUGUAAUUGAACUAAAUAUAGAAAACAUAAGUUGAUGCUGUUAAAUGAUAAACGGGUGGCUUCAGCUCAGAAUCUCACAUGCAGUAAAACAGCUUUCUUCCUCAAACUACAGCUAGUUCACUGAACUCCUCUUAGUGUGGUCACAAAUCUACAUCAACACAAACAUUUAAAGUCCACUUUAAAUAUGAAAAAGCAGAUGCGUCUUAACAUUUAAAAAUUGAAUUUCUGAAUCAAUUUUAUAUUUGAAGGGAAUUAGAAGACAUAAUGUGACAAGUAUUGAUAAGAUUGCUGGUCUUGAUACACAGGAACAAAACUUACUCCUUUUUAUAUUACAACCAGUGUCACAUUUAAACCUACACAACCCACUCCACUGUAUUAUUGCACUAAAUGGUUCGAUCUUAUACAAAUGGUUUUCUGUCGAAAACAAAGGAAGAAAGAAUGAAAACCAACGUCUGAGAAAAAAGCAGAAGUAUUUGCAUCAUGGAAACAAAUCCGCUCACAUGUCUGCUUACUGUGAACUUCCUGAAACACUUUGCUGUAAAUUUAUCUUUGGACUGAAGAGCCAAAGGAAGACAACCUCCACCCACACACUACACCAAACUAUUAGUAAUUAUGUUUUUGCAAAUCACAACUCAUUACCUAGAUCUGUUACAUAAUCACACUUUAAAUAAAUGUAAAUGAAAACUUUGGCAUUAGAAAGUGGCUGUUUCAGGAUUAAAUGAGUGCACCUGUAUUGUUAAAACUGUAGUAAUAUUGCAGUUUAUCAGUGUUUAGACAAUAAAUAAGAUAAAAUAUAUUCAUAAAUUCUAACUAUGAUUAAAAACUAGUACAACGUCCUAUAAAUAUAAAAGUUAGUAGAAAAAUAUGAAUAAUUAUGUUUACAAAUUUUAAAUAGCUACAAAACUACCACAGCUUGUGUAGCGUCAUAUGAAAUGAUAUCCUAGACGUCACCUAAGUCUGAUGGUGUUGAUGCCCAGUUAUGAUACAGAAGUAAACUGAAAGCAAAGAAAAUCAAUACGUAUGAGAUCUGAUGGUUUUUGUUUUUCUGAUGGGUAAUUGCAUUAAAUGAAAGACCUUUUGGCAUCUUGACAUCAUCUCCUCCUUCCAUGGACCUUCAGUCUGUGAACACACCGAUUACAUAAAUCACCGGAAUCUUUGGACCUUUGCAUACAUACAAUCAUCUCCUGUUGGUUCAGUGUGCCGAGAUCGCCUCGAAAACUUGACUUGGCCGUACUCCACCUCCACCUCCGCCUGUGUUGUUUGCACCGCUGGCUUCCCCUGUUGCUUCAUGAUCCUGACAUCAGCAUAGGUUACAUCUUGGUCACAUUCCUCCUCUGCAGAGUAGCAAGAAGAUUGUUACAAGCAGAGUAUUACAGAUGGUUAACUUUUAAAGGUUUUCAUUUUUGUGAAGUUUUUGUGCUUUCUUUAUGAGAGUUUCAAAAAUAUUUUCACAGUGAUAUAUGCUGCAGAAAGACCUGGUUAGCUUCAGCUCAUAGACCGGAGAAAAUGAGUCAGAUACAUUUUAAAAUUAGUUCUUUAGCAAUGCUUAAAGUUUAUAGUAGACAGAUGUUGUUACCUUUGUACACAGCGGUCUUCUCGGCUUUUGUGUUAAACCUUGUUAGUUAAAAAUACCCACAGAUUUUAUAUAUGACAGAGGAAUUUUUGUACCUUUUGGUUUUGUAGGUUUGUUGUUUUGUUUUUUCCUCUGAGCACAGAUGACUGCCACACCCACAACUAAGAAAAAUACCAGUGCUGAGAGAACACCACCGAUCAGGGGCAAAUGUCCUGUUUCAAAAGUAAAAUACAUAAAAAACAGAUGUUUCAGUUAUCAAAUGUAUGUUUUUUUCGUAAAAAGUACAUAAAGAAAGAGAAAGUGACAUCAGUGGAUCUAGUUAGUUUUCACUUACUAAUGUACCAUCGGCCAUCACUGUUGGUUUCAUUGCUGAAUUGUGUAAUUGACACUGUGCCAGUCUCCUUACCCACAGAAGUUGUUGUGACUGGGGUAGAUUCUGUUGUUGGUUUAAUACACAGGCCAUUCCUGUCUGCAUGCACCCAUCCUAAUAUCUUUGUCCCAUUGAUUGAGGUGCAGUUAAUGAAACCUGGCCGCAAAAAACAAAUAAUUCGUGAAAAAUGUUCAACGAAUUAGUUGUUAUUAUUGACUUUCAUUCAUAAUGUUGUCACUCACGACAGAUCUUCUGUUCUUCUGAGACAUUACUGACGCUGUUCCAGACUGAGCAGACCAGACGUCCUGAGACGUGCUGUUUCAGAGUGAUGUUGUUGGUCUUAUUAUUUACAGAAAGGAGCUCAGCAUCUGUCAGAGUGCGUCCAUCCAGAGUCCAGCUGUACUGAGGACUGUCCCCUCCCCCAGAGGAGCAGGACACCCUCAUCUCUCCCUGGGACAGACACUCAGAGACCAGCAGGACAGAGGACACAGGAGCUGAGAGAAACACACACAGAUGACUUACAUUUCAAAUUUAAAUCUUUGUCAUUGUUCAUACUCUCUAAUGAAGAACAGGGAAAGCAUAAAAUACAUGUAGCUUGUGUAUUUUGUGCUAUAUCACUAAGGUUAUCAAAACAAUGUUAAAUUUAUAUCUAUAAUCUGUUCCGAACAGAGAAAAAAAAUACCUUGAAUAAACAACUGUAAAGACCGCACGCCUGAUGAUCUUCCAUCUGAAUCAAAGGUUUGAAGGGUAUAAUUGCCACUGUCAUUCCUGCUCAGGUUAUUGAUCCUAAAUGUUCGAUUACUGAGAAAAACGAGAGACCUGUGUGCUAUGGUAUUAAAAAUAACCGUAUUAUUCCUGACAUUUAGUAUUGAUGAUAAAUUUUUUAACAGUUGGUAUCCAGGUAUUUCUGAGGUGCUGUCCAUCAGCUGGAUGUCCACAGUUCCUCCCAAAGCUCCAUAACACUGAGUUCCAUUCUGUCUGCUAUCACAGUGAGUUUCCACACC
ensembl:lncRNA